UGCAAGUCGAGCGCGAAAGCACUUCGGUGUGAGUAAAGCGGCGGACGGGUGAGUAACGCGUAGGAAUCUACCUAGUAGUGGGGGACAACUCGGGGAAACUCGAGCUAAUACCGCAUACGCCCUACGGGGGAAAGCGGGGGACCUUCGGGCCUCGUGCUAUUAGAUGAGCCUGCGUUGGAUUAGCUAGUUGGUGGGGUAAAGGCCUACCAAGGCGACGAUCCAUAGCUGGUCUGAGAGGAUGAUCAGCCACACCGGGACUGAGACACGGCCCGGACUCCUACGGGAGGCAGCAGUGGGGAAUAUUGCGCAAUGGGCGAAAGCCUGACGCAGCCAUGCCGCGUGUGUGAAGAAGGCCUUCGGGUUGUAAAGCACUUUCAAUUGGGAGGAAAGGUUCACGGUUAAUAACCGUGAGCUGUGACGUUACCUUUAGAAGAAGCACCGGCUAACUCCGUGCCAGCAGCCGCGGUAAUACGGAGGGUGCAAGCGUUAAUCGGAAUUACUGGGCGUAAAGCGCGCGUAGGUGGUCUGUUAAGUCGGAUGUGAAAGCCCCGGGCUCAACCUGGGAACUGCAUCCGAUACUGGCAGACUAGAGUGCGGGAGAGGGAGGUAGAAUUCCACGUGUAGCGGUGAAAUGCGUAGAUAUGUGGAGGAAUACCAGUGGCGAAGGCGGCCUCCUGGCUCGACACUGACACUGAGGUGCGAAAGCGUGGGAGCAAACAGGAUUAGAUACCCUGGUAGUCCACGCCGUAAACGAUGUCUACUAGCUGUAGGGGUACUUGAGACCUUUGUAGCGCAGCUAACGCAAUAAGUAGACCGCCUGGGGAGUACGGCCGCAAGGUUAAAACUCAAAUGAAUUGACGGGGGCCCGCACAAGCAGUGGAGCAUGUGGUUUAAUUCGAUGCAACGCGAAGAACCUUACCAGGCCUUGACAUCCUCGGACUUUCUAAGAGAUAGAUUGGUGCCUUCGGGAACCGAGUG
rnacentral:rRNA from 1 species